CUUAUUGAUUUAUGGUGUCCUGUGUUUCGUUGAGACGAGAUGUAGCUCUUCCAUUUCCAAGCGUUUUUGCACUUCUUCUUCUUCACUCCCUGAACCCUCUUCAUCAUCUCCACGUCCUACCAGGCGAUCUAAGGUCAAGAUCGAUGCAGUUAUUGAAUCUGCGGCGACGGCGGAACCGGUGGGGUCUUCGUCGGUGAGCGAGAUCCCGGUUUAGAAUCAAGGACCGGUUUCGGAUCCUGGAUCGGAAUCUGGAGAGCCGGAGCUUGGAUUCUCUGUCCGCAAGCUAUGGAUGCGGAGAAGCCUGUUUCAACUGAUGUGCCUGUGAUGGAGAUCUCUCCUGAAGCCGACACAAACCCUGAAGGCGAAAUCUUGGUGACACCUACAAUAGCAGGUUAAUUUUCAUGUUUUGAGUUAACUUUUGAUGUUGAGGAUAUGCAAGAGUUGAACGUGAAGCAUGCAAGACAACAGAUGAGUUAUUGCAAUAAGCUGGCAAAACUUGAUGGAGUACUAUACCGUGCUUUGACUGGAUAUAGGUCAGGUUUUUUUCGGAAAGUAAAAAAAAAAUUAGUUUGCAUCUUGCUAAGGAGUUAACAUGAUAAUCUUUAGCAUCUUGGUUAGCUAUUAUAUGUCUUGCGCUGUGUACUGUUAGUAGGAGAGAAACUGACUAUUCUCUACGGGUUUGAAUGUAAGGAUAAUGUUUGAGACCAACACACAUUUAUCUUGGAUCACAUCUGAUUUCUAGGAGGAUGCUCAUUCUGGUGCUACGUCUCAGUCUAUCCUUUCUCACGGAUCUCCUGGGUCAGAUUUCAUAUGGAAACCAGUUUCUUAUCAACUCAUGGCCCUAGAAAAUACAAAUAAAAAGGGAUCUGUCAGGGUAAAUGACUCUCAUCAAGACAACUUGCAGUGAUCGUGCCCAUACACUUAGCACACAAUGGUUAACAUCCAAAAUUUGACAGGUCUACAACUGUCUGCGUCAAUGUUUUUUACGGCCAAGCUAGCCUACUUCACCAAAAAUAAGAGUGGACAGGUGUCGAGCCUAAGAUUAUUCUUGCAAUAAUCAUUAGUUCCAAAUUCGUUGGAGGUCAUCUGAAUGCAACCUCUUGAACUCAUAUUUACAUUGACAAAGAAAGGCAGUCGAGCCAAAGCUUAUAUGUUGGCGAAUUACGUUUUCAGGGUUUAACAAUGGGCAGUUCGUGUAAUACUUUUAGUAAAGGUUUGGUAUGCUCCAAAAGAUAGCAUCACCAUUAGAAUUACCAGAACCUCGACAACACUUAGCAAUAAUAUUUUUAAAUUAUCACAACA